AGAUUCUUAACCACUGCACCACCAGGGGAGCUGGGCAUCUGGGGAGUUUAUCUUCAUCAAAAGCUUUUUCAGUGAUAUAAAUGAAACCAAAAAUAAACUGAACCAAGUGGAUGAUAAACUGAACCAAGUGGAUGAACCAAGUGGAUGAUGAACCAAGUCAUUCCAGUCCAUGACUUGACCUGGAAACCAAGUCAUGUCUUCCAGGACAAGGACUAGAAGACUUUCAAAAUGUAGUGCAAAUAGAGAAGUAUCCUCUUGGUUCAAACCCAUCAUCUUUCCUGGUUGUAUAAACCAUGAGUGGUACCGAAAUAACAGGUCUUAUGGCAUUUCAUGUUGACACAUUUAUUGAGCUGUACAAUGUGCCAGAUGCUAAGCAUGGGGUGAUGGAGCUGAACGUAACAUGACUUCUCCUUUUGGCCUCUUAGCUUUUGUCUGUUUUGUUUGACACUGAAUCUCCAGCACCUGGAAUAGCAUUUAGCACAUAACAGCACAUUCAUUUAUGGAAUGAAUCAGUGAAUGAGUAGGUACAAUAGAUAUACAAACAAGCACCAUGCAAUGGAACAUAGUAGCUGUAUAACAGGCUUCAGUGAUGCAGGGGAAGUAGUUAUUUCUCCAGUAGUGGUGAGGAAAAGCUACACAGAAAGGACUAUUAGGUUGAGCCCUAAAGAAAUUUCUCUGAUUUAUGGAGAGACAAUGGAACACAUCACAAGCAGGGAGAACACCGUAGGGAAAUUUGGGGUAUGUAUGUGUGUGCAUAGUUUGUUCAAUUCUUCUUUUCCACAAUCCAAUCAAUGAAAAGUGAGGAGAUGCGAUGGUUCACAGACCACAAAGUACAUACUCCAGUGGUCUCCUAAAUCAGCUGGUCAACUCUGUCCACACAAAAUAAAGAGGGAUAAAGAGUUACCCAGAUCAUAUACGCUACUAGAAAAAAUAAAAGAAUAUUUGAGGAUUUAGUUCUCCAGCUUAGUAAUCUUCCAUGGUGGUUUUCAAAUUGAAUUUCAUAUAGCCCUAGGGUAUAUCUAAGAGGUACAGCUUCAUAAACCACCCUGGAGUGAGAGUUGGAGGAAAAGCAGACAAGGCCCCAGGGCCUCCACCCCUGAUUUAACAGCAACAACUCCUCUUUUAUCUGCUUUCUGUGAGAUUUUACUGGGAAAGACAUUCUCUUUAUAACUAGGUAGUUAUUCUACAUUUUUAAAAAAUAAAGUUUUAAACAGCUGACCUAUAAAGUGAAAACUCGCAGAAUAAUUGUACAUCCACUUACUAUACUUUCUGUAGACACAAUUUAAUCACUGUAAGUAAAAAGAGAACUCAAUGGGUUUUUAUUUCUUUGAAAUUAUGAUCUACCCUGACAUUCCUAGUCUACAAGGGAGUAAUAUCUAGUUGUGAUUUUUAGCACCAUAAAAGAGAAGGCAUCUGUCACAAUUGUCUCAAAGAUGAAAGAGUUGUCAAAGUACUAAUUUUGAUCACCUCUCCCCAUUCUCAUAUCCUGUACCAUGUUAUUUUUUUGGUAUACUUUGCACUGGGAACUUCGAGCCCUUUCAAACCUGUCUCUUGGUUGCCAUGCUGUUUUGGUGGCUGGGUGUGAGAAAUAAAAUAUUAUCUCACGCUCCUCUCUUAGAUUUUUCCCCAUUUAGUCUUAGUUCGUGACUUUAUUUGCAUGCAUUUACAUUCUUCAUUUCAUUUAUAAAAUAAGUCAAGGGAUUUUAUAGGCCUGUUUAAUGUGCUAACAUACAGGAUGCCCAUGCCACUUCCAGAUAAUUUAUAUAUUCAAAUGAUUCAUUUCCUUCGUUCUUUCCUCCAACUCUCCUAAGUGUCACUAUUCCUCUUUUAGCAGAUGGAAUAUUAUAAUUUUUAACAAAGCAAUUUUAUAAGUUCCUGAAGCAAUAGAUGUAUGUGUGUAUACAUAAUUGAAACUGACCAAAUACAUAUAUAUAAAUAUAUGUGUAUAUAAAAUUUGACUAUUUAUAUCACCCGUAUAUAAAAGAUAGCAACAGCCAAUUUCUGCUCCUGCACUAGCCCUGCGUCCUUGGCCUCCUCGAUUAUAACAUAGGAGUAACUGUAUCUAGAAUUUAUAUAGAGAUGCAUCAUAUGUAUACAAUAGCCAUGCUGUAAUUGAUCUUUAUUUCCUGCUAUUGUUCUUUCAUGGUUUUGACCAUAAACUAAGGAAACUGAUUUUAAAUGUGGUCAGAAGUGUUACGUUUAGAUGAGCACUGUUUUUCCAUGUGACUACCCUAGGAAACAGAAAUGUAUUUCAACAAUCUUUGUUUAUUCAACAAAAAUACAUUGGCUACCGCUACCCAUCAAGGAGGCACUGAGCUUGGGAUUAAGACUGAAAUACACAAGAUCCACUCUUUCUUGCCAUUUAUAUCCUAAAGGAGACAAAUAUUAAUCAGAAAAAUCACACCACUGGAUGUACAAUUACAAUACUGGCAUGAGCUAAGGGUGAGACAGAAAGGUCCCAUUAGGGCCUAUGAGAAGGAGCUGAUCCAGCCUGAAGGGAUCGGGAAAGACAUUUCUAAGGAAGGACCUCUUGAGUUAGGAUAUGAAGGAUGAGUGGCGAAGUAGGCACAGUGGGUUGGGGGAGAAAGACCAGAAAUCAAUGAGAUCAGCAAGAGGAAAGCCCCCAGGAAGGGAUAGACCAUGGGGAGUAUGAAGAACAGAAGAAAGACCAUGAGUCAGGAGCACAGAUGGAGAGAUGAGAGUGAAAAGAGACUAUUGGCCAACAGUGACCACACAUCUCUAGAUGCCAGGCAGUACUCUCAGCACUCUACCUGAACUAACUCAUUCGAUCUUCACAACAGCCCUACAAGGUAAGCACUACAAGGUAAGGUGGAAGCUGUGGGGCAAGUACCAUACUACCUCGCGAAUGUUACUGAAUACUGAAGAGUAGAGGAUAGAAGAGUUCAUUUAUUUAACAAAUAUUUAUUGAAGGCUAAUUGCAUCUCAGGCACUCUUCUAGGCACUGCUUUAUGUGGGCAAAAAGAAAAGAAAAGCAGGAGAGAAGAGAAAAAUCCAUAGGAAUCAUGGAAGCUUUCCAGAGGUACUGGGGCCAAUAGUGUAAUUCUGUUCUGCUAAUGGAGUGUGAGGGGUCGACUGGCCAGUUGGCAAAGACAGAUCUAUGUCAUUUUCCAUUGGUAGAUAUUCAUGGCCAUAUCUCUCCUCUUCCUAAAAUGAAAAGCAAAAUUGAUUCAAGGCAUUUGCUUGUAGCUGCAGAAAGCUUUAGGGAGCAAACCAGUCCAGCCGGUCACCUGGCCCUUCCAACCAUUCCUUUCAGCAACUUUUGGAACUUCUGAUGACAGGUUGAAUGUGUUCUCCUCAAGUCCCUGAAGCAUAGAACCACCUUGUGUGUUCUACCAUAUUCUCCUCUUUGGUUGCCCCUGUGGUCUUGCUGAAAUCACACCUACUCACAAUGCAAUUCUGCACACCAGCCCAAAGGAGAUAUUUCUGGUCUCCUUCCACUUUCACAUGGCACAUGUUCUCAACUCAGUCCCAGGAAACAGUCUGGAAAAUUUGUAACAGAAGAAAAAGAGGUGGUUGGAACCCCAGAUCUACUGCAUCCUUUAUCAUGUGUCACAGCCAGGACCAGGUAUUUUUCUAUAAACUAGGUUCAUUCCUCCUAUUCCUCCAUAAUUGCACCCUCAACUCUGUUCUAUUUGUAAAGAUCUUAUUUGGUUCAACUGGGUCAAGACUAGAAGGGGACCAAGCCGUGUGAAAUAGAGGAAGAGCAUGGGCUUUGGACUUAUACAUGAACCCUCAUGGUUACUAGAGUCAGAUUACCUGUCUCGAAUUCUAGCUCCACCACAUGGCAGUUCCUAGAGCAAUUUACUUAACUUCUCUAUGCCUCAGUUUCUUCAUCUAUAAAACGGGGCAAUAUUCUUAACUCCAGUUUCAUAGGGUUACUGUGAGGAUUAUAUUAGAUAUAGAUAUAUGUAAUAGAUCUAUUAUAUUCAUAAUAUACCCAUUUAUAUAUAAUAUAUAAAUAAAUACUAUACAUAAAAUAAAUACAUAUAAUGCACUUAAAGCAGUGUCUAAAAUUAGAUGUUAUUCUUACCAGAUGUCCUAAUUAUCUAUUGCUGCAUUAAAAAAACCACCGCAAAAUUGAAUGUUGUAAAGCAAGAGCCAUUUUAUUAGGCUCACAGCAGAGAUAGUGCAUAAACUAGAGUGGCUUGAAUGUCUGGAAGGAGCUGAGACAGCAUUACUGAGGCUCUGUCUGGUGUCUCCAUUCUAUCACUUGGAUUCCUUAGUUAUUCUCCCCAGGGUGCCUCCUAGACCUGGAAUGUCCAAGAUAACUUACUCAUAUAUCUUGCAAUUGUGUUGGAAUGCUGGAACAGCUGGGGCUGCGAGGACAUCUCUCUAUCUAUCUCCAUGUAGCUAACUUAGACUUCCUUGAGGCAUGGUAGAAUCAGGGUAAUCAGACUUCUUACCUGGCAGCUGGCUUCCCAAGAGUGAGCAUUCCAAAAGAACCAUAAGGCUCCUUAUGAACUAGCCUCCGAAGUCAUACACGCAUCCCUUCUGCCACAUUCUAUUGGUCAGCCACGAUUCAAGGCAUAAAGAUGACACAGAACAUAAAUACCGGGAGACAUGACUCAUUGAAGUGCCAUCUUUGGAGACUAGGUAUCAGUUUUCCCUUUGGCCUGCAAUGAUCCACAUCCUUCCCACAUGCAAAAUAAAUUCACCCAAAGAGGGCAGCAACAAUAUCUCUCAUCCCACACGCUCUUCGAUAUUACCUUAACAGUCCCCCGCUAAGAUGGAGAGUACAUUUCUCUACCCCCUUGGAUCUGAGAGAGGCUAUGACAGCUUUGACUACUAGGAUACAGUGGAAAUGAUGUUGUUCCAGUCCCAUUUGUAGCCCUAACUGACCUAGGAGCUUCUUCUUUCUUUCAUCUUGGAAGCUAGUCAUCACUUAAGAAGGGUAACUACCUUGAAUUCACUGUGCUGUGAAAAGUACAAGCCAAAGGUCCUGAAGGAUGAGAUGUGAUGUAGGAGGAGAAAAGGACCAAAGAACACCAAGGCACCAGGCACAUGGCUAAAAAAGACAUCUUGGACAUCUAGCCCAGUUGAUCCUUCAGAUGCCUCCAGCCCCAAGUGCCGUCUGGCUGGAACCGUGUGAGAGACUCCAGCAAUUUAAAUGGCUAAGACAGAAGAACAAAGAGACCCAAGCAAAAGGAGCUUCAAGACGGCGGAAGAGUAAGACACGGAGAUCACCUUCCUCCCCACAGAUACACCAGAAAUACAUCUACACGUGGAAUAACUCCUACAGAACACCUACUGAAUGCUGGCAGAAGACCUCAGACCUCCCAAAAGGUACUGAAGAUACAGAUGUGAGCAAGAUAGAUAAGGACCCUACCCUCCUGGAGUUUUUAUUCUUGGGGAGAGAGACCAGGCAAUACACAAGCAUGGCUGAGAAUCACAGAUCUGGAAGGAAAGGACUAUAUCAGAUCUUUUAGCUUUUUCAAUCUGGAUGCACAGAGGAGCCAUGAGGCAGGGAGACAACUCAGGCUUUGGUGGUGGGCAGAUCUGGAUCCAAGUUCCACCAGCUCUGCGCUUGAGAACAUGUAUCAUCUAAGGAAAGUUGUCCAACCUCUCUGAUCCCAGUUUUCAUGUUUCCAAAAUGAAGAAAACAGCUAACACUCACUUGUGGUUUGUCGUGAAGAUUGAAUGGGGCCAGAGUGAGCAGGCAACUCUGCUAGACUAAUCUCCUCCUAAAAGUAACUCAGGAAUCCAGGCUCCUUUCAUCUUUGACACCAAGAUCUUCAACAUUGACCUUCUGGUAGCCAUGGAAAAGGAGGGAACAAGAAAGAUCUCUUAGGGUUCAGGAGAGGCUGAGAAGUACUUUCUGUAUGCCCAGAAAAGGAAAUGGAUAUGCUAUAAAAGUGUUCACUGAGCUUAGGAUCAGAGGUUUGGCGUGAAUAAAAUUUGAAAGUUCUC